GGUUAAGCGACUAAGCGUACACGGUGGAUGCCCUGGCAGUCAGAGGCGAUGAAGGACGUGCUAAUCUGCGAAAAGCGCCGGCGAGGUGAUAUGAACCCUUGACCCGGCGAUGUCCGAAUGGGGAAACCCAGUGCAAUCCGUUGCACUAUCGUUAGCUGAAUACAUAGGUUAACGAGGCGAACCGGGGGAACUGAAACAUCUAAGUACCCCGAGGAAAAGAAAUCAACCGAGAUUCCCCCAGUAGCGGCGAGCGAACGGGGAGCAGCCCGGAGUCUGAAUCAGCUUGUGUGUUAGUGGAACGGUCUGGAAAGUCCGACGGUACAGGGUGAUAGUCCCGUACACGAAAGCACACAUGCUGUGAACUCGAAGAGUAGGGCGGGACACGUGGUAUCCUGUCUGAAUAUGGGGGGACCAUCCUCCAAGGCUAAAUACUCCUGACUGACCGAUAGUGAAC
rnacentral:rRNA from 1 species